rnacentral:rRNA from 1 species
AUUGAACGCUGGCGGCAUGCCUUACACAUGCAAGUCGAACGGUAACAGGUCUUCGGAUGCUGACGAGUGGCGAACGGGUGAGUAAUACAUCGGAACGUGCCCGACCGUGGGGGAUAACGGAGCGAAAGCUUUGCUAAUACCGCAUACGAUCUACGGAUGAAAGCAGGGGACCGCAAGGCCUUGCGCGGACGGAGCGGCCGAUGGCAGAUUAGGUAGUUGGUGGGAUAAAAGCUUACCAAGCCGACGAUCUGUAGCUGGUCUGAGAGGACGACCAGCCACACUGGGACUGAGACACGGCCCAGACUCCUACGGGAGGCAGCAGUGGGGAAUUUUGGACAAUGGGCGCAAGCCUGAUCCAGCCAUGCCGCGUGCAGGAUGAAGGCCUUCGGGUUGUAAACUGCUUUUGUACGGAACGAAAAGACUCUUUCUAAUAAAGAGGGUCCAUGACGGUACCGUAAGAAUAAGCACCGGCUAACUACGUGCCAGCCGCCGCAGUAAAAC